CCUACGGGAGGCAGCAGUGAGGAAUAUUGGUCAAUGGGCGAGAGCCUGAACCAGCCAAGUCGCGUGAAGGAUGACGGCCCUACGGGUUGUAAACUUCUUUUGUCAGGGAGCAAGUGGGGCCACGCGUGGGCUUAGCGAGAGUACCUGAAGAAAAAGCAUCGGCGAACUCCGUGCCAGCAGCCGCGGUAAUACGGAGGAUGCGAGCGUUAUCCGGAUUUAUUGGGUUGAAAGGGUGCGUAGGCGGAAUAUCAAGGCAGCGGUUAAAAUUCGGGGCUCAACCCCGUCGUGCCGUUGAAACUUCUGUUCUUGAGUGGGCGAGACGUAUGCGGCAUGCGUGGUGUAGCGGU
rnacentral:rRNA from 1 species